rnacentral:rRNA from 1 species
GACGAACGCUGGCGGCGUGCCUAACACAUGCAAGUCGAACGCUACCUUCCAGUCUACUGGGUCGCUGGUUGGUGAACGGGUGAGUCCUACCCUUGUAAUCUGCCUACCUCCCCGGGAUAAGUGCUGAUACCGGGUAAUAACACCGGACCUACGCUUUAUCGCCUUUGGAUGUGGCCGCGUUGGUUUAGCUAGUUGGUAGGGUAGAAGCCUACCAAGGCGACGAUCGAUAGCUGGUCUGCGAGGAUGAUCAGUCACACUGGGACUGAGACACGGCCAAGACUCGGACGGGAGGCAGCAGUGGGGAAUAUCGGACAAUGGGCGGAAGCGUGAUCCAGCAAUGCCUCGGGAGUGAUGAAGGCCUUAGGGUUGGAAAGCGCUUCUACUUGGGAUGAUAAUGACAGUAGCGGGAGAAUAAGCGCCGGCUAACUACGUG